UAUGAACAUUGUCCUUGCAACUUCUCAGC
rnacentral:piRNA from 1 species